rnacentral:rRNA from 1 species
AAGUUGUUGCGGUUAAAAAGCUCGUAGUUGGAUCUCAGUUCCGGGUCGACGGUUCGCCUCUGGUGAUUAACUGUCGGUCCGAACAGCUCGUCGGCUCGCUCGGGGUGCUCUUCAUCGAGUGUCCCGCGUGGCCGGCACGUUUACUUUGAAAAAAUUAGAGUGCUCAGAGCAGGCUUACCGCCUGAAUAGUUGUGCAUGGAAUAAUGGAAUAGGACCUCGGUUCUAUUUUGUUGGUUUUCGGAACCCGAGGUAAUGAUAAAUAGAGACGGACGGGGGCAUUCGUAUUGCGACGCUAGAGGUGAAAUUCUUGGACCGUCGCAAGACGAACUACUGUGAAAGCAUUUGCCAAGAACGUUCUUAUUAAUCAAGAACGAAAGUUAGAGGUUCGAAGGCGAUCAGAUACCGCCCUAGUUCUAACCAUAAACGAUGCUGACUAGCGAUCCGUCUGUGUUAAUCCCAUGACUAGACGGGCAGCUUCCGGGAAACCAAAGUCUUUGAGUUCCGGGGGAAGUAUGGUUGCAAAGCUGAAACUUAAAGGAAUUGACGGAAGGGCACCACCAGGAGUGGAGCCUGCGGCUUAAUUUGACUCAACACGGGGAACCUCACCAGGCCCGGACACCGGAAGGAUUGACAGAUUGAGAGCUCUUUCUUGAUUCGGUGGGUGGUGGUGCAUGGCCGUUCUUAGUUGGUGGAGCGAUUUGUCUGGUUAAUUCCGAUAACGAACGAGACUUUAGCCUGCUAACUAGUCGGAGGGUCUAAUACAAGUGCCCUCCGCAGCUUCUUAGAGGGAUAAGCGGCAUCUAGC